CCUGCUCACUGAUAUUUUUAAAGAGCUGCAGUAUUUUAACUGUACGAAGGUAGCAUAAUCAUUAGUUUUUUAAUUGAAGACUGGUAUGAAAGGUUAGACGUAUUUUAACUGUCUUUAUUAUAAUUAAUGAAGUUAAUUUGUUUGUGAAAAAGCAGACAUGUAUUAAAGGGACAAGAAGACCCCGUUAAAUUUAAAUAUUUUAUUUACUGUGUAUAUAUAAAUUACGUGUAUAUUACAUAUUUUGUUUGGGGCGAAUGAUAUUAUUUAAACAAUAUUAUAUUAUAAUAAAUUAUAUAGCAUUUAUUUGGUCUAGAGAUAAGACUAAAUAAUAGAAAAAAUUACUAUGGGGAUAACAGCGUAAUAUUUUUUGAGAGUUCAUAUUGACAAGAAUGUUUGCGACCUCGAUGUUGGAUUAAGGAGUCUAUUAGACGUAAAGGUUAUAUUAGAUAGUCUGUUCGACUAUUAAAUUCUUACAUGAUCUGAGUUCAAACCGGCG
rnacentral:rRNA from 1 species